rnacentral:tRNA from 1 species
GGACCCGUAGUUUAGCGGCUAUAACGUCUCGUUUACACCGAGAAGGUCGGCGGUUCGAAUCCGCCCGGGUCCA